rnacentral:rRNA from 1 species
AACGAACGCUGGCGGCAUGCCUAACACAUGCAAGUCGAACGAGACCUUCGGGUCUAGUGGCGCACGGGUGCGUCACGCGUGGGAACCUGCCCUUAGGUUCGGAAUAACUCCCCGAAAGGGGUGCUAAUACCGGAUAAUGUCUUCGGACCAAAGAUUCAUCGCCUUUGGAUGGGCCCGCGUUGGUUUAGCUAGUUGGUAGGGUAAAAGCCUACCAAGGCGCCGAUCCAUAGCUGGUCUGAGAGGAUGAUCAGCCACACUGGGACUGAGACACGGCCCAGACUCCUACGGGAGGCAGCAGUGGGGGAUAUUGGACAAUGGGCGAAAGCCUGAUCCAGCAAUGCCGGGUGAGUGAUGAAGGCCUUAGGGUUGUAAAGCUCUUUUAACCGGGAUGAUAAUGACAGUACCGGGAGAAUAAGCUCCGGCUAACUCCGUG